AUUGAACGCUGGCGGAAUGCUUUACACAUGCAAGUCGAACGGUAGAGGGGGCAACCCCUCGAGAGUGGCGAACGGGUGAGUAAUAUAUCGGAACGUGCCCAGUCGUGGGGGAUAACGUAGCGAAAGUUACGCUAAUACCGCAUACGAUCUAAGGAUGAAAGCGGGGGAUCGCAAGACCUCGCGCGAUUGGAGCGGCCGAUAUCAGAUUAGGUAGUUGGUGGGGUAAAGGCUCACCAAGCCAACGAUCUGUAGCUGGUCUGAGAGGACGACCAGCGACACUGGAACUGAGACACGGUCCAGACUCCUACGGGAGGCGGCAGUGGGGAAUUUUGGACAAUGGACGCAAGUCUGGUCCAGCCAUUCCGCGUGCAGGAUGAAGGCCCUCGGGUUGUAAACUGCUUUUGUACGGAACGAAAAGGUCUCUCUUAAUACGGGGGACUCAUGACGGUACCGUAAGAAUAAGCACCGGCUAACUACGUGCCCGCAGCCGCCGUAA
rnacentral:rRNA from 1 species